CCUUGGUUCAUCUUGCUCACAUCCUUAUUUUUCUCUGCUGCUUAACUAAUUCUGAUUUCACUGACUGUCUUCUUAGGUUUCUUGAUUUUUUUUUCCGGUGAUCACUCAACAAUCAUAUGGUAUUUCUUGAUUAGUCCAAAAUGACCAAAAAGAAAAAGAAGAAGAAACAAAAUAUGGUGUGUUAUGUUGAUGGAAUUGUUAUGGGCGGACGCGGAAAACCCCCAGGUGAAAAUUAUGAUGUGGCUGAUCUUGAACGUUCUACGGUAGAAGAAUUACUCACAAGGUGUAACGACAGAGGCAACUACGGUGGCAGGAGGCAACAAAGAUGAUGGCACUGCGGCGUUACUUGAACAGACAAGUUUCAAAUUGUACGUGGGGUGUGUCGUUGUAGCCUUCCUGAGCUCAUCUUUAGCCUUGAUCCUUAUGAUGGUUUCAACUAAAUUACCAAGCCAACUAAAUAAGGAUUAUUUAAUUGUCUCCACUGUCGAUCCAGUGAUGGGACUCUUAGUUUUUCUAUUACGGGAAUGUUCAUAAACGGCCUGACCUCAUCAUCUUCACACCGUUCAGCUGAGCUAACAAAAUUUCUUACAGCUGCAUUAAUUCUCCAUUGCUGCCGCUAUAUUCAUUCAGUUCAUGUACCAGAUAAGCAAACAAUUGCAAAGAGAUGGACACGGCCAACAUGUCAAAUUUCUUUUGUUGAGUGAGGCUUUUGAAAAUCAAUUUCAUAUAUAAAAGCUGAAGAUUGUAACAAAUACUAAUAAAGAAGAAUGUGCGACCAUAAGUAUCCAA